rnacentral:rRNA from 1 species
GACGAACGCUGGCGGCGUGCCUAAUACAUGCAAGUUGAGCGAUGAAGCUUGGUGCUUGCACCAAUUUGAAGAGCAGCGAACGGGUGAGUAACGCGUGGGGAAUCUGCCUUUGAGCGGGGGACAACAUUUGGAAACGAAUGCUAAUACCGCAUAACAACUUUAAACAUAAGUUUUAAGUUUGAAAGAUGCAAUUGCAUCACUCAAAGAUGAUCCCGCGUUGUAUUAGCUAGUUGGUGAGGUAAAGGCUCACCAAGGCGAUGAUACAUAGCCGACCUGAGAGGGGGGACGGCCAACAUGGGACUGAGACACGGCCCAAGCUCCUACGGGAGGGAGCAGUAGGGAAUCUUCGGCAAUGGACGAAAGUCUGAACGAGCAACGCCGGGUGAGUGAAGAAGGGUUUCGGAUCGGAAAACUCUGUUGGUAGAGAAGAACGUUGGUGAGAGUGGAAAGCUCAUCAAGUGACGGUAACUACCCAGAAAGGGACGGCUAACUACGUG